rnacentral:rRNA from 1 species
GUAGUCCACGCCGUAAACGAUGGAUACUAGCUGUUGGGGGUAUCGACCCCCCCAGUAGCGAAGCUAACGCGUUAAGUAUCCCGCCUGUGGAGUACGGUCGCAAGACUAAAACAUAAAGGAAUUGACGGGGACCCGCACAAGCGGUGGAUUGUGUUCUUUAAUUCGAGGAUAAACGAUAAACCUUACCAGGGUUUGACAUCCCAAGAAUUUUGCCGAAAGGCGAGAGUGCUUUAUUGAACUUGGUGACAGCUGUUGCAUGGCCGUCGUCAGCUCGUGUCGUGAGAUGUUUGGUUAAGUCCAUUAACGAGCGCAACCCUUGUGAUUAGUUGUAUUUUUCUAAUCAGACUGCCCCGGCAACGGGGAGGAAGGAGGGGAUGAUGUCAGGUCAGUAUUACGCUUACAUCCUGGGCUAGAAACGCAAUACAAUGGCCGGUACAAUACGCAGCGAAGCCGCGAGGUGAAGCAAAUCGUAUCAAAACCGGUCCCAGUUCGGAUAAGAGGCUGAAACUCGCCUCUUUGAAGUCGGAAUCGCUAGUAAUCGCAGAUCAGCAAGCUGCGGUGAAUACGUUCCCGGGUCUUGUACACACCGCCCGUCAAACCAUGAAAGUGACCAACACCCGAAGUCCGAUUCGUCGGCCUAAGGUGGGGGGCAUGAUUGGGGUU